UUGAGUUAGGUUAGGUUAGAUUAGGGUUAAGUUAGGUUAGGUUAGGUUAGGUUAGUUGCAGUGACACAAGGAAACAAAGGCCGAGAGUUUGAUUAUCCUCGAGCGCUUAGUGUGUUGACGCAAUACAAGACAAUUACCAGCACGACAUACACACACACACACACACACAUACACAGGAAUGCAUAACCAGGUAUAUUAGCAAGUUCUGAAGGAAUAUAUAAAAAAUAAAUAAAUAAAUAAAAUAAACAAAUAAACAAGCAAUAAAAAUAAUAAUAAUGAAGAGAGAGAGAGAGAGAGAGAGAGAGAGAGAGAGAGAGAGAGAGAGAGA